GAGACAUCUGCACACCCAUGUUCAUAGCAGCAUUAUUCACAAGAGCCAAGAAGUGGAAACAACACAAAUAUCCACCCAGAGAUGAACUGAUAAACAAAAUGGGGGUGGGGGGGUGGAACAGACACACAAUGGAAUAUCAAUUAGCUUUUAAAAAAGGAAAUCCUGUUACAUACCACGUCAAUGAAAUAAGCCAGUCAUAACAAGGAAAAAGGUAAUACUUUAUGAUUCCACUUACAUGAUGUCAAGUUCACAGGAACAAAAAGUAGAAUGGUGGUUACCAGGGCUGGGAGAAGGGGAACUGUUGUUUAAUGGCCACAGAGGUUCAGUUUUGCAAGAUGAAACAGUUUCGGCAAUCUGUUUCACAACAAUGUGAAUAUACUUUUAUGGUUUUUACCACCAAAAAAAAAAAAUCAUUAGGAAGCAAUAUUUUGCAGUACAAACUACAACCAAUAGGAAUCCACAGAUGCAACUAUAACAUCUUUAAUGCACCUCACUCACAGUCAGAUUGAGAACUUAAAAAUAUUCACAGAAAACUAUUUUUCAAAAAUCUUAUAUAUCUGCUUACCACAAAUUACAAAUUCCAGAGAAAAGAACAGGCUUUCCUCAACAAAGUGUCUCUUAGCACUUUCCAAGACUCACUAUAAUAUAGUAAGGGAAGACAAUGCAGUACUGGAGUAAAGACAGACAUAAGAGGUCAAUGGAACACAAUGGAGUCAAAA
rnacentral:lncRNA from 1 species